AACAGAUUUACCGUUCUUAAUAAGAGACAGAGAUAAUGAAGGCAAAUUAAAAUGGAAGCUCAGAUCUGCAUGGAGAACAGAGAGUUACUAAGCCACCUGCUCCCCAGCCCCCAGGCAGGAUGGGACAGAGACUUCAGUGGUCUCUUUCUGGUCGUCUCCUUCUGGUACUCCUCAGCUGCCCAGGUCAUCCCAGUCCAGCUUAUCUCCAAAAGUUAUAAAUGGAGAUCCAGGUAAAACUGUCUAAUAUGUAAAUGUUAUAAGUAAAGGUGGACAUGUGG